ensembl:lncRNA
CACAUUGAUUACUCAAUGAUUACUCAACAGGUGUGCAGCCUCACCCAGCCUUCCACCACAAACUCUUGACCUCUGUAUUUUUUCUUGUCAGUAGUUUGCAGUUACUUUGGUGUGUGGGCAAUAAGAUUAGGGUGGUGUUGGUUGAUAAUUAUUAUCCUCACUCCCCUGCUAUCAUGGUGGGAUGAGCUCUUCUUCAUUUAAAUGGAUACAAUAAUUGAUUUUAAGGAGUCAUCCCAACCCGAAGGUGAUGAUAUGAAAUGUGACCUUUAGUAAGGGCUCUGUCGGUGUGCGGGCUCAUAAGCAGGUCCAGCUGAGCAGUAUUUUAACCUGACUCAACAAGUUAAUAAAAACUGCUGGCAAAAGCACUUGAACUGCAUGCAGUGACUGCUGGGACACGAGGGGAAAGCUGUCAAUAUGAAGAGGGCGAACUCAAAUCGCCAGCAAAAUGGGCGGGGCUACCCAGUCUAGGCUCCAACCCAACCAGCCGUCGGAGUAGGCUAAACGAUAACUCGUCUGCUCCACUUUGUCUCUGCAGUGGGUCUGCGGUGGUUUGGUGUGCGGCCACAGAGAAGGUCAGAUUAGUGUGGUGCUGGCUGGUAGUGAAUGUUUUCCCUCACUCCCCUCCUCUGCUAUCACCAGAGCUGCUUAGUCUGUCCGUCUACUGUCCCUUCCAAAUGAAUCAAACUGCUUGUAGGAGCUCUUGAACUGCAUCCAGUGACUGCUGCAUUUAUUUGAAGUGUGUAUUUGAGUGUACCUGUCAUUCGGGACGCUGUCAUCCCCAGGGCUACAAAUCCUGCCUUCCUUACAAUCCACCUGUAGGCGUCUCAGAGCAAGAUUCAUAAAACCUAGCUAGUCUUUAAGUACCUGUGUCGGAAUGCAGUGCAAGUCUCUGUGGAUAAAAGUGUCUUCUAAAAUCAAUUACAAACCUAUGACAGUGAUUCCAAACAAAUGGGAUUGGAUGAGAUAAUUUAGUCCUUUCAAUGUUGGCAUUUAUGUUUUCUGCAUGUGUUCAUCAGGCGUAGGAUGAAUGUUGUUGAAAUAUGAAAUGGGGAUUCCACAAUAUAUAUCAUAGCAGUUAUCCUCAAACCUGUUCUCACAGAGCUGUUGAGGAACGUAAUUAGACAGCAAUUUAAAUUAAAUAAUUGAACAUCCAUUUUUUUUUUAAAUGAAAAUGCUGAUGAAGAUUGAGUCCAAUCAAGAAUAAAUGCAAUCUGUUCAGUUUCUUGAUAGCUGAUUUAUUAAAGAAACACAUAACACGCAUGCUUCUUCUUAUGAAUUUCAAUUUUCCUUUCAGACUUUAGGAAUCAGGCAUGCUGAAUAUAAUAUCACAUCAUCUUUUAGGUCUGGCUUGGCCAUGCUUAACUGUUUGUCAGGGUUUGAUUUUAGAUGCUUUGUGCGCAAAUUAGUGCAAUCAAAUUAAGUUGCGUAAAGUUAACUAGUGUCCAUUUCUUCGUAUGGAUCUCUCCCUGCGGUCUUAUCAUACACAGGCGGUCAAAUCCAUCAGCCACUGAUGGAUUUGACAUGAACAAAUAGAUAAUGCAAUCAUAAAUAAUAUACCUGGG